UACGUAGGGUGCAAGCGUUGUCCGGAAUUAUUGGGCGUAAAGAGCUCGUAGGCGGUCUGUCGCGUCGGCUGUGAAAACCCGGAGCUCAACUCCGGGCCUGCAGUCGAUACGGGCAGACUGGAGUUCGGCAGGGGAGACUGGAAUUCCUGAUGUAGCGGUGAAAUGCGCAGAUAUCAGGAGGAACACCGGUGGCGAAGGCGGGUCUCUGGGCCGAUACUGACGCUGAGGAGCGAAAGCGUGGGGAGCGAACAGG
rnacentral:rRNA from 1 species